UACAGAGGGGGCAAGCGUUGUUCGGAAUUACUGGGCGUAAAGGGCGCGUAGGCGGCCUUCUAAGUCGAACGUGAAAUCCCCGGGCUCAACCCGGGAACUGCGUCCGAGACUGGAAGGCUUGAAUCCGGGAGAGGGAUGUGGAAUUCCAGGUGUAGCGGUGAAAUGCGUAGAUAUCUGGAGGAACAUCGGUGGCGAAGGCGGCAUCCUGGACCGACACUGACGCUGAGGCGCGAAAGCGUGGGGAGCAAACAGG
rnacentral:rRNA from 1 species